rnacentral:lncRNA from 10 species
AGGGCAUUUCUUAAGGAAAGACUCCUUGCACCAGCUGCAGAAGGGGCAACAGGUCCCAAACAAGCAGAUCACUGUGGGCGUGUUGGAGAAGCUGGUGAGGCGCGUGCUCUCUGCCUCUGGGAAGGUCUCUGAUGAGCUUGCUCUUGUGCGUGCUACGGAAGAUCAGUGUAAAGGUGGCAUGGUGGAUCUGCAGAUGGCAGCUUAUUUCUUCAGACACCUAAAAUUAUGGCAGAUAAAGAUGACUCUGUGACCACUGGGCUCGCACCUGUAAUCCCAGCACUUUGGGAGGCCAAAAUGGGAGGAUCACAAGGUCAGGAGUUCGAGACCAGCCUGGCCAAUAUGGUGAAACCCCAUCUCUACUAAAAAUACAAAAAAAAUUAGCCAGGUGUUGUGGCGCAUUCCUGUAAUCCCAGCUACUCAGGAGGCUGAGGCAGGAGAAUUGCUUGAACCCAGGAGGCAGAGGUUGCAGUGAGCCGAGAUCACGCCACUGCACUCCAGCCUGGGCAACAGAGCGAGACUACGUCUAAAAACAAAAGAGUGAGACAGUCAUCUCAACCUGGUACAGAGAGAGCUUGGUUGCAUCAUAAUUGAGGUUUCCAAUGCAGUGCACAUUCUUACAUAUGUUGGAUUACCCAAGCACUGUGUGAUUGGAAGUGGGUGUGAUCUGGAUUCUGCCACGGAUGGAUUUGGGGAGAACACAGUGACUCAAGUGUGGCUGUGUGGAGUAGUGUGAACGUGGCAGGUGUUUCUCUCCAGGAAUUGAAUCCAGAAAUGGGAACUAAUGAUGAUCAGGAAACUUGGAAGGAAGUGUAUAAGAUAGUGGUUGAAAGUGCCUGUGGUCAUCAAGCUAAAAGGAUAUACCGACUGGGCUCCUGGGUGAAGUGUAGCUGAUCUUAUUGAAUCCACGUUGAAAAAUCUGUCCAGGGCUCACCCAGUAUCAACAAUAGUGAAGGGGAUGCAGGGCACCAAGAAUGAAGCCCUCUGGAGCCUCCCAUGUACCCUCACUGCUCAGGGAUUAAACAGUGUUACCAACCACAGCUAAGGGAUAAUGAGGUUGUUCUGCUCAAGAAAAGUGCAGAUACCCCGUGGGACAUCCAAAAGGACCUCAAAGACCUGUGA